GAUCCAGACUCCUACGGGAGGCAGCAGUGAGGAAUAUUGGUCAAUGGCCGCAGGGCUGAACCAGCCAUGUCGCGUGAGGGAUGACGGUCCUAUGGAUUGUAAACCUCUUUUGUCAGGGAGCAAAGGGCGCCACGUGUGGCGUUUUGCGAGUACCUGAAGAAAAAGCAUCGGCUAACUCCGUGCCAGCAGCCGCGGUAAUACGUAGGUGGCAAGCGUUGUCCGGAAUGACUGGGCGUAAAGGGAGCGUAGGCGGCGCGGCAAGUUAGGAGUGAAAUCCCGGGGCUCAACCCCGGAACUGCUUUUAAAACUGCCGUGCUUGAGGGAUGGAGAGGAAAGCGGAAUUCCUAGUGGAGCGGUGGAAUGCGUAGAUAUUAGGAGGAACACCAGAGGCGAAGGCGGCUUUCUGGACAUUAACUGACGCUGAGGCUCGAAAGCGUGGGGAGCAAACAGGAUUAGAUACCCGCGUAC
rnacentral:rRNA from 1 species